rnacentral:rRNA from 1 species
GACGAACGCUGGCGGCGUGCUUAACACAUGCAAGUCGAACGGAAAGGCCCUGCUUUUGUGGGGUGCUCGAGUGGCGAACGGGUGAGCAACACGUGAGUAACCUGCCCUUGACUUUGGGAUAACUUCAGGAAACUGGGGCUAAUACCGGAUAGGAGCUCCUGCUGCAUGGUGGGGGUUGGAAAGUUUCGGCGGUUGGGGAUGGACUCGCGGCUUAUCAGCUUGUUGGUGGGGUAGUGGCUUACCAAGGCUUUGACGGGUAGCCGGCCUGAGAGGGUGACCGGCCACAGUGGGACUGAGAUACGGCCCAGACUCCCACGGGAGGCAGCAGUGGGGAAUAGUGCACAAUGGGCGGAAGCCGGAUGCAGCAACGCCGCGUGCGGGAUGACGGCCUUCGGGUUGUAAACCGCUUUCGCCUGUGACGAAGCGUGAGUGACGGUAAUGGGUAAAGAAGCACCGGCUAACUACGUG